CCUGACAUUAAUAAAUACGUAGUUUGCAUUGAAAUUAAUAAAUAUAGAGUGGUAACGAAACGUAUGAGAAUAAGAAUAAAAUAAAUUUUGACACACAAAUAGCCAUGCACCUGCAGAAUUAACAGCGUCUUCUAUCUUACAAGAUGAACAUUACCGCAAGUCAUGGCUGAAAAGUGUUCUUGAUUUUAACAAAAGCGUUUAGUGUUCACAAUAAAGUUCUGAACGAUUAGGAAAAGAUUAGCAUUUGUAUGUUGCGAAACGUCGGGAUGACCGUUCAAAAACCAUGACAAACGCAUUUUGCUUGUUGAAUUUAACCAUUUGGAACCAAGUAAAUGUGCAGCGGAAGCAAGCUGCGAUGAAAUUCUUGUCCAGGCAUAUCUAGAUCAAAAUUUCACUCAUAAUGGGAAAGGUCUAUUGUGAUUACUUUCUUAACUAUGUUUAUCCUAACCCACCCUGACAACUUUCCCUGUGGGAUGAAACCGGAGUUCCCAGAGAAAACCUACGACUUUCGGCAGAGCGUUGACAGACUCGGGGACGCCAGAACGAUGUGAAGGCAAGGGGGGCAGAUUUUCGUGAAAGGGCACUUUUGAAUUGAUAUAUACUAAGAGAUGUUUCCAAAACAUCGGGAGUUGAACUUCGCCUAAUCAUGUUUUCUAUUUAUUGGAUGAUAGGGGUGUGAGGGGGUUCUCCGCCAUGCGCUUGCGCUAUUCUUGAAGCUCGAUGACUGCAUUUCUUGCGUUUUCUGAAGCAAAUUCGUAAAGGAAUUGCACUAACAUUUCUGACAAUUCGCUAUUUCGCCAAGGCAAUCCUUUAAAUUGAAAGGGCACCUUUGCCCCCCUUGCCCCUCCUGGUAAAGGGCAACGGGGGCGGCUGCCCCUCCUGCCCCCCAGUUCCGGCGUCCCUGGACAGACUCCUUUCACAUGAGUCCAUACAGCGAGUCUCGAACUCACAAUCUCAGAGGUUUUCGGUGCUCGCUCUGACUGGGUGAGCCCAAGUAGCAAAGCGCCAUGAUGCACCCUACUAAACUCUUAGAGCCAGACAAAGGCAAACGGCAGGUUCGAACUUUCUUGGCAAAAUUUUCGUUGAACGUUUUCGUUUCAUAUUUUCAUUCUUGCGUCGAAAAAAUAAUUAUGUAUUUCAGUUUUAAAACAGCAAGUUCAUUUACUCUUUAUUGCCUGAUACCGUAAAAUUUUUCUUUGCCUGGCGUUUGCCGUUUGAGUAUAACGCAAAGCUUAAACUCUCUAAUAAUUCAUGAAGAAAACAAAUAAGAAAUCAAGGGCGUGCAGGAGUUUGUAUAUCUGAUACAGAAUCAUGCUGUUUUACAUAAACUUUAAGUUUAAGGUUACAGUACACCCUUUUUGGCGUUUUGUGGAAAAUCGCUACUGCGCGCUCAAAAUCAGUCCGAUUUUCAUCAAAUUUUUACCAAACGUUAGCCAGUGCAUGCAAAAUAUGAUAAAGUUGUUGAUAAACAAUAAAAUUAUAUAAGAAUUUUUUUCUGUGUUGGUGCUGUGUACUCAGGUGAAUAAUAUGUUUGCGAUGUUACUCUGAGUGCAUAUCCACACCGGGCGAGCUUGAAAAAUAUGCCCGGCCACGGUGGGAUUCGAACCUACGACCUUUG
rnacentral:lncRNA from 1 species